AUAACCGCGAGAAAUCGUGGCUAAUACCGGAUAUGCACAUGUGCCCGCAUGGGUGUGUGUGGAAAGACUGUGUCGGUGGGGGAUGGGCUCGCGGCCUAUCAGCUUGUUGGUGGGGUGAUGGCCUACCAAGGCGACGACGGGUAGCCGGCCUGAGAGGGUGACCGGCCACACUGGGACUGAGACACGGCCCAGACUCCUACGGGAGGCAGCAGUGGGGAAUAUUGCGCAAUGGGCGGAAGCCUGACGCAGCGACGCCGCGUGGGGGAUGAAGGCCUUCGGGUUGUAAACCUCUUUUACCACUCACGAAGGCCCCUGGUUUUCUGGGGGUUGACGGUAGGUGGUGAAUAAGGACCGGCUAACUACGUGCCAGCAGCCGCGGUAAUACGUAGGGUCCGAGCGUUGUCCGGAAUUAUUGGGCGUAAAGAGCUCGUAGGCGGCCUGUCGCGUCUGCUGUGAAAGUCCGGGGCUUAACUCCGGGUGUGCAGUGGAUACGGGCAGGCU
rnacentral:rRNA from 1 species